CUAACACAUGCAGUCUAGGGGUAGCAAUACCACUGGCGCACGGGUGAGUAACACGUAGGUUAUCUGCCCCUAUCACAGACAUAACCUCGGGAAACCGAGGCUAAUAUCUGAUGAGGUCGCGAGAUCAAAGCUUCGGCGGAUAGGGAUGAGCCUGCGGCUGAUUAGCUAGUUGGUGAGGUAAUGGCUCACCAAGGCGACGAUCAGUAGCUGGUCUGAGAGGACGAACAGCCACACUGGAACUGAGACACGGUCCAGACUCCUACGGGAGGCAGCAGUGAGGAAUAUUGGUCAAUGGGAGCAAUCCUGAACCAGCAAUGCCGCGUGUGGGAUGACAGGGCUUCGCCUUGUAAACCACUGUCGGAUGGGACGAAAGGAACCCUCGGGGUUCUGGGACGGUACCAUCAAAGGAAGGGUCGGCUAACUACGUGCCAGCAGCCGCGGUAAUACGUAGGACCCGAGCGUUGUCCGGAUUUACUGGGUAUAAAGGGUGCGUAGGCGGCCUUGUGCGUCAGAGGUGAAAUAUCCGGGCUUAACCCGGAGGGUGCCUUUGAUACGGCAGGGCUUGAGUGCGAGAGAGGAUGAUGGAAUUCCUGGUGUAGCGGUGAAAUGCGUAGAUAUCAGGAGGAACACCGGUGGCGAAGGCGGUCAUCUGGCUCGCAACUGACGCUGAGGCACGAAAGCGCGGGGAUCAAACAGGAUUAGAUACCCUGGUAGUCCGCGCCCUAAACGAUGUAUGCUUGGUGUUGGGCCCGCAAGGGUUCAGUGCCGUAGGGAAUCUGAUAAGCAUACCACCUGGGGAGUACGAUCGCAAGGUUGAAACUCAAAGGAAUUGACGG
rnacentral:rRNA from 1 species